rnacentral:rRNA from 1 species
AUUGAACGCUGGCGGCAGGCCUAACACAUGCAAGUCGAGCGGAGCGGCGGGCGGGUGAGUAAUGCCUAGGAAUCUGCCUGGUCGUGGGGGAUAACGUCCGGAAACGGGCGCUAUUACCGCAACCUAUCAGAUGAGCCUAGGUCGGAUUGGGUAGGUGGUGGGGUAAAGGCCUACCAAGGCGACCAUCCGUAACUGGUCCGAGAGGAUGAUCAGUCACACUGGAACUGAGACACGGUCCAGACUCCUACGGGAGGCAGCAGUGGGGAAUAUGGGACAAUGGGCGAAAGCCUGAUCCAGCCAUGCCGCGGGUGUGAAGAAGGUCUUCGGAUUGUAAAGCACUUUAAGUUGGGAGGCGUUACCAACAGAAUAAGCACCGGCUAACUUCGUGCCAGCAGCCGCGGUAAUAC